rnacentral:misc_RNA from 1 species
UCUCCGUUGGUGAACCAGCGGAGGGAUCAUUAUAGAGUUAUCUAACUCCCAAACCCAUGUGAACUUACCAUUCUGUUGCUUCGGUUGACUCUCUAGGGGGCCGGCCGGAGGAUUUUAACUCUUGAUGUUUGUGUCUCUCUGAGUAUUAUUUUAAAUAAAGUUAAAACUUUCAACAACGGAUCUCUUGGUUCUGGCAUCGAUGAAGAACGCAGC